rnacentral:rRNA from 1 species
GAUGAACGCUAGCGACAGUCUUAACACAUGCAAGUCGAGGGGCAGCAUUAUUUGUAGCAAUACAAAUAGAUGGCGACCGGCGCACGGGUGAGUAACGCGUAUGCAACCUACCUAUCAGAGGGGGAUAACCCGGCGAAAGUCGGACUAAUACCGCAUAAAACAGGGGUCCCGCAUGGGAAUAUUUGUUAAAGAUUAAUUGCUGAUAGAUGGGCAUGCGUUCCAUUAGAUAGUUGGUGAGGUAACGGCUCACCAAGUCUGCGAUGGAUAGGGGUUCUGAGAGGAAGGUCCCCCACACUGGUACUGAGACACGGACCAGACUCCUACGGGAGGCAGCAGUGAGGAAUAUUGGUCAAUGGGCGAGAGCCUGAACCAGCCAAGUCGCGUGAAGGAUGAAGGAUCUAUGGUUCGUAAACUUCUUUUAUAGGGGAAUAAAGUGCGGGACGUGUCCUGUUUUGUAUGUACCCUAUGAAUAAGGAUCGGCUAACUCCGUGCCAGCAGCCGCGGUAAUACGGAGGAUCCGAGCGUUAUCCGGAUUUAUUGGGUUUAAAGGGUGCGUAGGUGGCUUUUUAAGUCAGCGGUGAAAGUUUGUGGCUCAACCAUAAAAUUGCCGUUGAAACUGGGGGGCUUGAGUAUAUUUGAGGUAGGCGGAAUGCGUGGUGUAGCGGUGAAAUGCAUAGAUAUCACGCAGAACUCCAAUUGCGAAGGCAGCUUACUAAACUAUAACUGACACUGAAGCACGAAAGCGUGGGGAUCAAACAGG